GACGAACGCUGGCGGCGUGCUUAACACAUGCAAGUCGAACGGAAAGGCCUGCUUUCCCUUGUGGAUUGCGGGUACUCGAGUGGCGAACGGGUGAGUAACACGUGAGUGAUCUGCCCCCAACUUGGGUAUAAGCCUGGGAAACUGGGUCUAAUUCCCGAUAGGACUGCAGGGUGGUGCCUGUGGUGGAAAACGAUUUUCUAGUGGUUGGGGAUGAGCUCGCGGCCUAUCAGCUUGUUGGUGGGGUAAUGGCCUACCAAGGCGGCGACGGGUAGCCGGCCUGGGAGGGUGGACGGCCGCAUUGGGACUGAGAUACGGCCCAGACUCCUACGGGAGGCAGCAGUGGGGAAUAUUGCACAAUGGGCGGAAGCCUGAUGCAGCGACGCCGCGUGGGGGAUGACGGCCUUCGGGUUGUAACCUCCUUUCGACCGCGAGGAAGCCACCUGGUUGGAAGGGUGGUGACGGUAGUGGUAGAAGAAGCACCGGCUAACUACGUG
rnacentral:rRNA from 1 species